AGUAUUAAAAGGGGAAUAUAGUCCUCAGAUAGAGUGUCCACGUCAGUCAAGAAAAUCAACCAAUAGGAAACCUGUUUUUAGCCACGUCACACCGGGUUGGGCUUCUCAGUUUUCUUGAUCUGUAAAAUGUCUGUUUUCUUUUUGGCCCAUAGGCCCAGUCGGAAAGAAACGGUGAAUCCCUUCGAAAAAUCUGUUUAGUCUUCAAUCGUCGAUAUAUCCUCCGACUCUUCCACUUCAUGUUCUCCACUGUAUGAUUUUUCUACGUUUCAUUCUCAAUUAAUGACAAUGUUGAAGUUAUUCUUCAAUGUUUCGUUCCACCACCCCUUGAUGCUUCUCCUAUAUAAAACUCUUUCUCUGAACCUAAAUUCAUCCUGAAUCAAAAAAAAAACUAUUCUGCAGAAAUUACUUCUAGGCCAUGAAAUUCACCACGCAGUCUCAUCUUACCACCAACAAAUCUCCUGUCGUCAUGUAUUUCAAAGACAUCUCAUCAGGACAAUCUGAAUCAGAGCUCCGGUUAGUCCGUUUCUGGGAGGCAAGAAACAUUGCUAAAGGUGGGACCUUUAUUGGGUUGGAACUCCUCCUCAUUGAUGAACAGAAGACGGUGAUGCAAGGUUUCGUCUCCUCUCCAACAUACCUGCCUCAUCUCAAAGCAUGGACAACUUUGAGGCUUCAUAAUUGACGCUGCUCAAAGCAAGGAUAUUUAUCGAGUUGCUGAUCAGAGUUUAACAGUUUCUUUCUCGCACACUCUGUUCUCUCCAGCCUUGAUGACAUCUACCUCUGUUUUGCUCCAGACAGGUUCAGGUUCCAUCCAAUUUCCAAGCUAACUGUGGUCUCAGGGGUGACCUCUACGGAAGCUCUUUUCGUCUGCAUGGCCAUUAGUCACAUUUGAUGAUGUUUAGCAUGACACUUCGUGGUAUUGUAUUGCCUGCAGCGGUUGUAAAAGUAAGGCCACCAGAGGCCUUUCUUCGUUGAUGUGCGCUAAGUGUGUCAACACUAACGUUGCUGGUGUAGAAAAAAUUUGGUAUUUGUGUUCUUUUCUUUGCAGGUACCUUGCGAAGAUCUAUGUCUACAACAAUAAUGAACAGGCUGUUUUCGUCUUACUUAGUGAUGCAGGACAUGAGUUGACAGGGAAGGGUGCUGCAGAAUUGGUUGACAACUACUCUGAGGCUAAUCAAGAACUUGGUGCUGGUCAUGAGAUUACUGUCCCCAGGCUUUAAUCCACACAAUUGGAAAAACACAUAAUUUCAGGAUCAAGGUGUCUGACUACAACAUCACAGGCAAGAUCCAAGUUAUAACUGUUACUAAGAUUGUCUCACCAGAAGUUCUGCCAUCUGUACCAACUCCACUUGAAUGUUGAAUCCCACUUGAUGCAGGGGAUGAAGUUGAUGGGUGCCUUCUGCAAGUGUAGUUUGUGCAUCUUCUAAGAGCUGUGGAUCCAUUGCUGAUUAGUAAAAUGAAGUUAUAUAUUGUGUAAUGUAGCUUUAGCAGAAAGAAAUGGGAAUAUAUUUGUAUGUCGUAGCUAGCAUAGGAUUCAAGUGAGAUAAGUAAUUUUAUUGUGUUUGAUCAUUUGUAGUAGCUUUUUUCUAUGACGAGUAAUUUUUUGUGCUCA